rnacentral:rRNA from 1 species
AUUGAACGCUGGCGGCAUGCCUUACACAUGCAAGUCGAACGGUAACGCGGGGCAACCUGGCGACGAGUGGCGAACGGGUGAGUAAAGCAUCGGAACGUGCCCAGUAGUGGGGGAUAGCCCGGCGAAAGCCGGAUUAAUACCGCAUACGACCUAUGGGUGAAAGCGGGGGACCGAAAGGCCUCGCGUUAUUGGAGCGGCCGAUGUCAGAUUAGGUAGUUGGUGGGGUAAAGGCCUACCAAGCCGACGAUCUGUAGCUGGUCUGAGAGGACGACCAGCCACACUGGGACUGAGACGCGGCCCAGACUCCUACGGGAGGCAGCAGUGGGGAAUUUUGGACAAUGGGGGCAACCCUGAUCCAGCCAUGCCGCGUGCGGGAAGAAGGCCUUCGGGUUGUAAACCGCUUUUGUCGGGGAAGAAAGGCUCUGGGUUAAUACCCUGGGGUGAUGACGGUACCCGAAGAAUAAGCACCGGCUAACUACGUGCCAGCAGCCGCGGUAACAC